AUAAAUCCAUUCUCAGGGACACCUUGGCCUAGGCAUCCUACCGAGAUCGCCAAGGCUAUUAAAAUUCACAUUUCACAUAAAUCAUGUUUUUGUUUUGAAAACAUAGCCAUUCCUUGGCGUUGGCUGAGUUUCCCCUCACGUCGUGGUUUGGCGUGAAGUGAACCCUAAGCUUUACCCCAGGAGAUACCCUACGCGCCUCUCCGUUCGAGGUAAGAAUAUAAUGGGGUUUACCGUGCCCCUCUAAAAGACUGGUCCACAGAAAUCCCCUACUGCAGUGAUUAAUUAAUAUAUAAUCCACCAUAUAAUAAA
rnacentral:lncRNA from 1 species